AUUGAACGCUGGCGGCAUGCCUUACACAUGCAAGUCGAACGGCAGCACGGGAGCAAUCCUGGUGGCGAGUGGCGAACGGGUGAGUAAUAUAUCGGAACGUGCCCAGUCGUGGGGGAUAACGCAGCGAAAGCUGUGCUAAUACCGCAUACGAUCUACGGAUGAAAGCGGGGGAUCGCAAGACCUCGCGCGAUUGGAGCGGCCGAUAUCAGAUUAGCUAGUUGGUGAGGUAAAGGCCCACCAAGGCGACGGUCUGUAGCUGGUCUGAGAGGACGACCAGCCACACUGGAACUGAGACACGGUCCAGACUCCUACGGGAGGCAGCAGUGGGGAAUUUUGGACAAUGGGCGCAAGCCUGAUCCAGCAAUGCCGCGUGCAGGAUGAAGGCCUUCGGGUUGUAAACUGCUUUUGUACGGAACGAAACGGCGAGCUCUAAUACAGUUUGCUAAUGACGGUACCGUAAGAAUAAGCACCGGCUAACUACGUGCCAGCCGCCGCGGUAACAC
rnacentral:rRNA from 1 species